UCUCUGUAUCUAAGUCAGUUAGAGCGCUGCAUUGUAAUCGCAGAGCCGCAGGUUCGAUUCCUGCAUGCCAGAGAG